rnacentral:rRNA from 1 species
CCUACGGGAGGCAGCAGUGAGGAAUAUUGGUCAAUGGACGAGAGUCUGAACCAGCCAAGUAGCGUGAAGGAUGACUGCCCUAUGGGUUGUAAACUUCUUUUAUAUGGGAAUAAAAUGUUCCACGUGUGGGAUUUUGUAUGUACCAUAUGAAUAAGGAUCGGCUAACUCCGUGCCAGCAGCCGCGGUAAUACGGAGGAUCCGAGCGUUAUCCGGAUUUAUUGGGUUUAAAGGGAGCGUAGGUGGAUUGUUAAGUCAGUUGUGAAAGUUUGCGGCUCAACCGUAAAAUUGCAGUUGAAACUGGCAGUCGUGAGUACAGUAGAGGUGGGCGGAAUUCGUGGUGCAGCGGUGAAAUGCUUAGAUAUCACGAAGAACUCCGAUUGCGAAGGCAGCUCACUGGACUGCAACUGACACUGAGGCUCGAAAGUGUGGGUAUCAAACAGGAUUAGAUACCCUAGUAGUC